rnacentral:rRNA from 1 species
UACGUAGGGUGCAAGCGUUGUCCGGAAUUAUUGGGCGUAAAGAGCUCGUAGGCGGUUCGUCGCGUCGGCUGUGAAAUCCCGAGGCUCAACCUCGGGCCUGCAGUCGAUACGGGCGGACUGGAGUUCGGCAGGGGAGACUGGAAUUCCUGGUGUAGCGGUGAAAUGCGCAGAUAUCAGGAGGAACACCGGUGGCGAAGGCGGGUCUCUGGGCCGAUACUGACGCUGAGGAGCGAAAGCGUGGGGAGCGAACAGG